UGGCAGCCAACUCUUUCAAUGCGCUGCCCUAGUGAAAGCGCUUUCAAAAUGUCAAAACAGCCCUCGGACUUUUCUUCCAUUUUGUGUUGCUAUUUUUAUUUAAAGAAUUUGUAAGAUUACACCUAAUGCUUGUGUUAUUUGACGGUGAUUGUGAAACAGUGAGAAAUUUGGUUGGAAAUUAGAAAGGUUUUUGUGAUAACUUGACAGUGGUGCAGGUGAAGUAUUCAUACUUUUGGUUUGGGCGCGUUUCACUGAAGUACAACUUGUUAUGCUAGCGAAAUUGAUACUAAUUUUACUUAUAAUUGUAUUCUUUGGAAACACAGGAACACACUUAUUUGAUUUGGUUGAAAUGCGGAAGCUGGAACACAGGAUUUAAGAUAAAUUUUGCGAAGAUUGCUUCCAUCCCCAAACUACAAGAGAGAGAGCUCUGUAACCACAGCUACGAGAAGUUUGAUUAUAACGUGUCGACGUUAUCGUGAGCCAAAAAUGUUGCUCAAUAUUUUUCACUUAUUGAAGGUGCAUAAAAACAUACAUUUUUAUUAGCGAAUCAAACGAAUCAUUUAGGAGUCACAGCCUAUUAUCACGUUUUUCUCGCAAACAGCAGAAUGAUCAGCAUGGGCGGCUCAAAUUGACUACAAUGUAUUGAAAGGAAAAUAAACAGUUUUUAUGUCUUGACAAGUCUAAAAUGCAUUUUUAAUUUAGUUUUUGAUUAAAGUUGGAACUCAAAUAACAAGUAUUCUAGUCAAAAUCUUCAAAUCACAAGUUUUCUAAUCGCAAUCAAAAGACUUAAUAGAUUUCUUACU
rnacentral:lncRNA from 1 species